GGGUGUUUUGCUGGAGACCUCUCCCUCCUGGAGGCCUUCUGAAGGCCCUCCAGUGGCACUGCACACAUGGGUAUGCAAUAGAUUUGAACCUGGAGCUCGAAGUGCUCCCCUCCAGCAGCAGCAGCAGCAGGGCUGCAGACAAUUUUGUGGAGCUGAGCAGGGCGGCAAUGAAUACUGCAAUGUUCUGCAGUGACCCCUCGGAGCCAUCUGGAGGUGGCGUGGGCCCACAGGAGGCAGAGGAGGCUCUGCAACGCAAAGAUUUACUUUCCAUGCUGUUACCAUCCCUUUUGCCUCUGCAUAAGAAGCAUGCAGAUAUCUGCUGUAGUUUGGCAGACUCACCCACAAUUCAUUGAAGACUGUGCUGUAUGAAAAUACAGGAAGAUUGGAGUGGGAGUACUGGAAGAUGAUGGAAGAGAACACUGCUGAAUGAAGGUGCUCAAAGUCUGUGCUUCUGUUCUACACUGGAAAGUCCUGAAGUAAGGACUAUCCCCUUUUGAAAGGCCCAAAAUAGUUGAGUCUCAUCCAUUUCACAAGCCAACCCAGAGCUUCUCUUCUAUUAAGUACACUGGUGGGCUAUCUGUAGAAACACAAAUAUUUGUCCCUGAUGCUGCUGUCUGAAGGGCUUUCAUCCAUAUCCUUGUUUGUUUUUUUUUCCCCAAGAAGAACAUGCAGUUGUGAUGCUCAUGUUAUAUCAACAUGGCAAGAACCACAAAAAACAAACAAAAGAACAAUGGUGUCUCAUCACCAUCAUUAUCUACUUUUCUGUCACCAGCAAAUACUACAAGAACUACCCAUCCAACAGCAAUGGAGAGAGGAACGUGGAGGAGAAAACAGUAGUUCUUCCUUCUGGAUGGCCGUGUGGCCUUCUGGAUGUGUUGGAAAGCUGAGUGCUCUGACAUGCUGGCUUUUUACUUUGACCAUAUUCACAUCCAGGUGUGUGAUGAUUUUCAUGCUUAUGUAUGGGAAGCAGAGACAGAGUUGGUCCUGAUGGAAGAAGAGACUCUUGUAGCUGACAGCUGGCAGUGCUGUCCCCAGUACAGCAAUUUAGGGAUCAGCAGCUGGCUGAUGAGAUUGAAGGUCAAAGCCCGAACAGUCUGGUCUGAAAGAAGAAAACAACAGAGCUGCAAAGUUAGUGAUACAGUGCCUGUCCCAUGUGCACACAUUCAAUGUUAUGGAUUUUGUUACAAAAAUUAGAAUGCAGAAACAUGAAAAUGCAAUGUGAGACAUUUAAGAGGUGAAUGAGGAGAUGCUUAUUCCUUCUUUCCUCCCACAUCGUCUCAGCCCAAAUACGCAGGUUUUUGUCAAGUUGUCUGAUAACUUUUCAGGCACAGCCUUACUACUUUCCACAAAAUGUGAAUGGAAGUUGGUGGAUAUAUUGCAUGGGGAGACAAGUUGGAAGUGGAACUGGCUGGAUUAGCCUUGGACAAAAGCAUGUCUGUUAAAGGAUAACUUUCUGAAUGCAACAAUGCCAGCAGAGUGGCACUUGUGUUCACCAGCACUGGACAUGUGGAAAUCAGAGUGUCUGUGUGUAACAGACAGGUGUUAAAGCACAGUUGAUGCUAAACUUGGGCUCACAGUUUUGUAUGUACUGAGUGCAGUGUGGGGCACUGAUUAUUGCACAGUGAGAAUUGGAUCUGAAGAAGUAAUAAUUUUCUCCAUGGUUUUUGUCUGAAACAAAUGAAAGUUAUCAUAGAAAUAUAUCACUGGAGACAUUCCUGGAAAGAACAUUCUGUGCAAUUAUUUGUGCCUGCUAGAGGCAUAACAAAAUGUAAAGGCUGAAAACUCAAGCUGGGAAAAUGCACUUCAGGAUCAUGACGUGGGUUUUCAGUAGUGCAAUGCUCUCCGUGGGCAUGGGCUAUUGAGAGAAGCAGUCAACUUCAGCACUGCAGAUGAAAGGAUUCAGGACUGGAAGCUUCUAUAAAAAAAAAAAAAAUUGUCUGAGUCCAUGAGCAGUUACUGAACUUGCUGACAAGUAUAUAUGCACAGCAAGGCAUACUAAGUAAUGGCCCCUAUUUGUUCCCAUGGAAACUGGAACAGAUUAAAAGAGCACAAUAACACAAUCUGAAAGAGCAAGUUCUCAGCUCUAAAUCACUGUUUUUCAACAUAGUUAUCACUGUUAACUCUGCAUUUUCACCAGUAAUGAACAAGGUUCUGCAUGCUGUGCUCAUAAAUAUCUGCAUGGCCAUCCACAGCAUCUUAUUUUUCACAUUGCUGUCACCACCCAUGAAAU
rnacentral:lncRNA from 7 species